rnacentral:lncRNA from 1 species
GGAAGAAGAUGAAGGCGACAAUGGGAGAUCUCUACAAAAACAUCUGAUUUGCUCGCGGUGGUUCGCCGGUCGGAAAGAGGGAGGGCAGAGAGAGAGGGAGGUCGCGGUUCUCUCGCCAGUCCCGUGCAGUGGUUCGUCGAUUGCUCGCGGUCCUCUCGCCCGUGCGGUGGUUCAUCGGUCGGAAAGAGGGAAUGCAGAGAGAGAGGGAGGUCGCGGUCCUCUCGCCGGUCCCGUACGGUGGUUCGCCGGUCGGAAAGAGGGAGGGCAAAGGGAGGGAGCUAGAUCUCGCGGUCCUCUCGGCGGUCCGGUGCGGCGGUUCGUCGGUUGCUGGCGGUGGUUCGCCGGUCGGAAAGAGGGAGGGCACAGAGCGACUGGGAGGUCGCGACCUGUUCGUCGGAGAGAGAGAGGGGGAGGGUAGAGUGAGAGGCGCGAAGAAAGA